AUUGAACGCUGGCGGCAUGCCUAACACAUGCAAGUCGAACGGAAACGAUGGAAGCUUGCUUCCAGGCGUCGAGUGGCGGACGGGUGAGUAAUACUUAGGAAUCUGCCCAUUAGUGGGGGACAACAUUCGGAAACGGAUGCUAAUACCGCAUACGCCCUACGGGGGAAAGCGGAGGACCUUACGGGGCUUCGCGCUAUUGGAUGAGCCUAAGUCGGAUUAGCUUGUUGGUGAGGUAAAGGCUCACCAAGGCGACGAUCCGUAGCUGUUCUGAGAGGAAGAUCAGCCACACUGGGACUGAGACACGGCCCAG
rnacentral:rRNA from 1 species